rnacentral:tmRNA from 1 species
GGGGAUGACUGGUUUCGACGGAUAAGUUGAAGCUUUAGUUGCGUGUCGAGGUUGGUCUCCAGGCCUCGUUAAAAGGAGUCCAAAAUUAUAAAUGCUGACGAAAGUUACGCACUGGCUGCAUAAACCAGCCACGUCUCUACCUUGAAGCUUGUUAGGGGAUAGAGGCGACGANAACAAGCUGGCGUUAAGUUCGGGGAUACGGGAUAAGACGCGAGAUUUAACAGGAUCCUAGCGACCNUUGUAGCUUUGUUAAGCAGCAGCAAAGGCGGCGAAUCUUUUAAGCUUAACUAUGCACGUAGAAGCUAUUGUGACUCUUUUUCGGACGGGGGUUCGACUCCCCCCAUCUCCACCA